rnacentral:rRNA from 1 species
CCCUUAGAUGUCCGGGGCCGCACGCGCGCUACACUGAAGGAAUCAGCGUGGCUUUCUCCCUGACCCGAAAGGGUUGGGAAACCCGUUGAAUCUCCUUCGUGAUAGGGAUUGGGGCUUGAAAUUGUUCCCCAUGAACGAGGAAUUCCCAGUAAGCGCGAGUCAUAAGCUCGCGUUGAUUACGUCCCUGCCCUUUGUACACACCGCCCGUCGCUACUACCGAUUGAACGGUUUAGUGAGGGCCUCGGAUUGGCCUCGGCCCGCUCUUUACCGGGCGGCGCCGUUGGUCGAGAAGACGCUCGAACUUGAUCGUUUAGAGGAAGUAAAAGUCGUAACA